rnacentral:rRNA from 1 species
UGGGGAAUAUUGCACAAUGGGCGAAAGCCUGAUGCAGCAACGCCGCGUGAGUGAUGAAGGUCUUCGGAUUGUAAAGCUCUGUCUUUUGGGACGAUAAUGACGGUACCAAAGGAGGAAGCCACGGCUAACUACGUGCCAGCAGCCGCGGUAAUACGUAGGCGGCGAGCGUUGUCCGGAUUUACUGGGCGUAAAGGGUGCGUAGGCGGAUGUUUAAGUGAGAUGUGAAAUACCCGGGCUUAACUUGGGUGCUGCAUUUCAAACUGGAUAUCUAGAGUGCAGGAGAGGAGAAUGGAAUUCCUAGUGUAGCGGUGAAAUGCGUAGAGAUUAGGAAGAACACCAGUGGCGAAGGCGAUUCUCUGGACUGUAACUGACGCUGAGGCACGAAAGCGUGGGUAGCAAACAGGAUUAGAUACCCUGGUAGUCCACGCCGUAAACGAUGAGUACUAGGUGUAGGAGGUAUCGACCCCUUCUGUGCCGCAGUAAACACAUUAAGUACUCCGCCUGGGAAGUACGAUCGCAAGAUUAAAACUCUAAAGUGAAUUGACGGGGUC